AUUGAACGCUGGCGGCAUGCCUUACACAUGCAAGUCGAACGGCAGCACGGGUGCUUGCACCUGGUGGCGAGUGGCGAACGGGUGAGUAAUACAUCGGAACAUGUCCUGUAGUGGGGGAUAGCCCGGCGAAAGCCGGAUUAAUACCGCAUACGAUCUACGGAUGAAAGCGGGGGACCUUCGGGCCUCGCGCUAUAGGGUUGGCCGAUGGCUGAUUAGCUAGUUGGUGGGGUAAAGGCCUACCAAGGCGACGAUCAGUACCUGGUCUGAGAGGACGACCAGCCACACUGGGACUGAGACACGGCCCAGACUCCUACGGGAGGCAGCAGUGGGGAAUUUUGGACAAUGGGCGAAAGCCUGAUCCAGCAAUGCCGCGUGUGUGAAGAAGGCCUUCGGGUUGUAAAGCACUUUUGUCCGGAAAGAAAUCCUUGGCCCUAAUACGGUCGGGGGAUGACGGUACCGGAAGAAUAAGCACCGGCUAACUACGUG
rnacentral:rRNA from 1 species